AUUCCAGCUCCAAUAGCGUAUAUUAAAGUUGUUGCAGUUAAAAAGCUCGUAGUUGGACCUUGGGCCUGGACGGGCGGUCCGCCUCACGGCGUGUACUGUCUUGCCGGGCCUUUCCUCUUGGUGAUCUGUUGCUUCGGCAGCAGGGAACCAGGACCUUUACUUUGAAAAAAUUAGAGUGUUCAAAGCAGGCUCGACGCCGGAAUAUAUUAGCAUGGAAUAAUAAAAUAGGACGUGCGGUUCUAUUUUGUUGGUUUUUGGGAUCGCCGUAAUGAUUAAUAGGGACAGUCGGGGGCAUUAGUACUCACAUGCUAGAGGUGAAAUUCUUGGAUUUUGUGAAGACUAACUUCUGCGAAAGCAUUUGCCAAGGAUGUUUUCAUCA
rnacentral:rRNA from 1 species